CUUGCAGGGUAUUCUAAGAGAUUGUAUUUGGAGUUGGUAUUGCCCCUUCUAAAAAUAUAUUUUUACUGAGGACUGAGGUUACUAAGUUUCAGUGUGUUCCAACACUGCUACAGUCAAACAGCACAGACUUCGCUUGCCUGUGUGGUUUCACAGGACUGUGCAUCUGCAGAAUUUCUCCUCGCAUACUACAAGAACUUGCUGAACAGUCUGUGUUCUGCGACGUUCCUGUCACUGUAGUCCCUUCCUUCUCCUAGCAAUUACAGCCAACAGGAACACGCAAUGUAAUCCCACCAAGAACUGCUCCAAGUGCUGUCAGCAAGCAGAUGGCAGGUACAGUUUACGGACYGGAUUGCGAUCUAGAUCAUUUUCAACAUCCACUAUUUUAAUAUCUAAAUAGUCCCAGCACUGAGCCAUAUCAUGGGGCCUUUCCCACUGCCUGCAAGAAAGAUUCCCAUCUUGUCAGGACAGAGCAAGUCUUGCCUGGCAUCUUAACCGCCCACAAAAAUUAGUCAGCCGGUAACUAGUAGAGCAUGGCUUCACCCCAGCUUACAACAUUUUUUAUCUUGGGCAGCAUUCAAAGGUAAGAGACACUUCUUUUAAUGUUGAAAAUGUCAAAGAAACAACCU
rnacentral:lncRNA from 1 species